UACGUAGGGUGCAAGCGUUAUCCGGAUUCACUGGGUUUAAAGGGUGUGUAGGCGGGCUGUUAAGUCAGUGGUGAAAUCUCCGGGCUCAACCCGGAAACUGCCAUUGAUACUAUCAGUCUUGAAUAUUGUUGAGGUGGGCGGAAUAUGUCAUGUAGCGGUGAAAUGCAUAGAGAUGACAUAGAACACCGAUUGCGAAGGCAGCUCACUAAACAUGUAUUGACGCUGAGGCACGAAAGCGUGGGGAUCAAACAGG
rnacentral:rRNA from 1 species